rnacentral:pre_miRNA from 1 species
AAAGUACUCCCUCCGUCCCAAAAUUCUUGUCUUAGAUUUUUCUAGAUACGGAUGUAUCAAGUCACAUUUUAGUAUUAGAUACAUCCGUAUCUAGACAAAUAUAAGACAAGAAAUUUGGGACAGAGGGAGUAGUUG